rfam:Clostridium cadaveris strain NLAE-zl-G419 genome assembly, contig: Ga0070261_105
AUAAAACCUCGGUAGGUGAGGUUACUACAAGGAUACGGGUUGAUGCCGUGAAAGAAUGGAAACAUUUUUAACAGGUUAGCAGGUUUGGCCGAACAAAGAAGGCUUAAUCUAAUUCAACUUCAUUGCCUUGCAGAGCCAAAACUUGAACGAAACGUAUUUUUA